CCCUCUCCCCUCGUUCCCCACCACUCCCCUCCGACCGGAUCUGGGCGAACGCCCGAUCCCGCGUCCCGACACUGGCCCCGACUACGCCGCCGCCCCCCGCUCGAUCUGGACGCCGCCGAGCGCUGCUGGACGCCGUCUGCCUCACCUUCCCCGCCACCGCCUACGAACCUCGUCGUCCCACGUCACGCCGCUGGGCCUCGAGGUCGUCGCCGUCACCGCCUCGUCCUCACCGCCACCUCGCCUCGCCGCCGUUCCGCCUCGCCGGACCUCCCCAGGCCUCGCCGCACCGUUCCCCGGCAUCGGGGACCCCGGACCGCUGCUGAUGCAGCUGAGAUCGACUACGUCGACGACGACCCUUCUUCUUGUCUAAGCAACCAGAUGGUGGAUCCAUGGAGCCAGAUGCCACCCCCGCCGACUACCACUACUAUCCAGAGGGUGUCUUCUACUACGUGAAGACCGGCGACGACCAGGAGUAGUUAGGAGGUCUCAGGCAGGAGGCCUUGCCUCUUUGAUCGUGUCGCUUUUGUGCUAGCCUUCUUAAGGCACCCUUGUUUAACUUAUGUCUGUACUCAGAUAUUGUUGCUUCCGCUGACUCUUGUAUAUCGAGCUUAUGUAUUCGAGCCCUCGAGGCCCUUGGUUUGUAACAUAAAGCUUGUAUUAUUUUAUUUGUGUCUAGAGUUGUGUUGUGAUAUCUUCCCGUGAGUCCC
rnacentral:rRNA from 1 species